CGACCUCAGAUCAGGUGGGACUCCCCGCCGAAUUUAAGCAUAUUAGUAAGCGGAGGAAAAGAAACUAACGAGGAUUCCCAUAGUAGCUGCGAGCGAACAGGGAAGAGCCCAUCGCCGAAUCCCAAGGGCCACGCUCUUAGGGAACUGUGGCGUUUUGGAGAGCCCGAUCAACCCGGGGUCCGUGCACCGUGUUCAAGUCCAUCUUGAACGGGGCCACGGUCCGCAGAGGGUGCCAGGCCCGUAGUUGACCGGUGCCGGCCCCGGGUGGGCUCCUCCUUAGAGUCGGGCUGCUUGAGAGUGCAGCCCAAAGAGGGUGGUAAACUCCAUCUAAGGCUAAAUACAACCACGAGACCGAUAGAGAACAAGUACCGUGAGGGAAAGUUGAAAAGAACUUUGAAGAGAGAGUUCAAGAGUACGUGAAACCGCUCAGGGGUAAACGGAAAAGACCCGAAACACCGAAACGAGAGAUUCACGUCUUCUCGCAGGAGCCGGCCCUCGUCGGGGGGACGGCCUAACGCCCCGUCCGGCCCGUCCGGUACGGUGGGUAGGCCGCCUCCCGCGGGGCGCCCGGCUCCUCGGGGGCCCGCAAUUCUCUCGCAGUAGGACGUCGCGACCCGCUCUGCGGCGGUCUAACGGCCGGCAGAAGGCCUGGUCGGGGCCCGCCCUCUCCCUCUCGAGGGGGGGGGCGGGUUCUCGAACAGCUCUCCGGACCCGCGGCCGUCGGCCGGGGCGGUACGAAACGACUCCAGCGCUGGGCCGCUCCCUUUUACAGAGAGCGCCGAGGCCUCCCCGCAAGCCCGGGCCGGAUCGUCGGGCCGUGCCCUCACGGGUACGCCCGGCGUCCGCCCGGACUGUUGGCGGGUGACGGCUCCGGCCGCCAGUCCAGCACGCUUGUCGGCGGCGCUUCAGAUUCGGGAACUUAUCCGACCCGUCUUGAAACACGGACCAAGGAGUCUAGCGUGUGCGCGAGUCAUUGGGUGCCUAAACCUAAAGGCGUAAUGAAAGUGUCAGAGGCGCGCGCGCGCUCGCGCGCGCGCGCCCUACUCUGAGGGAGGAUGGGCUCCCGGCCUUAGGGCCGGUGCCCCGCACUCCCGGGGCGUCUCGUUCUCGGCUGCCGAGUGGAGACGCACCAGGAGCGCACACGCUGGUGCCCGAAAGAUGGUGAACUAUGCCUGGCCAGGACGAAGCCAGGGGAAACCCUGGUGGAGGUCCGAAGCGAUUCUGACGUGCAAAUCGAUCGUCUGAGCUGGGUAUAGGGGCGAAAGACCAAUCGAACCAUCUAGUAGCUGGUUCCCUCCGAAGUUUCCCUCAGGAUAGCUGGCACUCGGCUUGAGAAGAGUCUCAUCCGGUAGAGCGAAUGAUUAGAGGUGAUGGGGUCGAAACGACUUCAACCUAUUCUCAAACUCCCAAUAGAUGAGAGACCCGGCUUGCUUGAACGUGAAGCCGGGGGACUCGGAUCAGAGUCUGCCAAGUGGGCCAAUUUUGGUAAGCAGAACUGGCGCUGUGGGAUGAACCAAACGAAGAGUUAAGGCGCCUCAUUCGACGCUCAUACGAAACCAUAAAAGGCGUUGGUUGCUUAAGACAGCAGGACGGUGGCCAUGGAAGUCGGAAUCCGCUAAGGAGUGUGUAACAACUCACCUGCCGAAGCAACUAGCCCUGAAAAUGGAUGGCGCUGUAGCGUCGUGCCUAUACUCUUCCGUCAACGGCAAAGCUGGCGGUCCCCUCUGGGGGGCGUCGCCGUUAGGCCUUGACGAGUAGGAGGGUCGCGGCGGUGUGCGCGGAAGGGUCUGGGCGUGAGCCCGCCUGGAGCCGCCGCCGGUGCAGAUCUUGGUGGUAGUAGCAAAUACUCCAGCGAGGCCCUGGAGGACUGAUGUGGAGAAGGGUUUCUUGUGAACAGCUGUUGCACAAGAGUCAGUCGAUCCUAAGCCCUAGGAGAAAUCCGAAGCGAUGGUAUGCCGUUAAGAGAAUAUAAAUAAAAAAAAGAAAAAUAGAUAAGAGAGACGAGAGGAAGGCUGCGAAAAGAAGGAAAUACGUGCUUCUUUCUUUUCCGAGAACUUUUUUCUCUCUCUCUCUUAAUUUUUUUUUUUUUAUGAAAAAUUUUAGCAGGCACCGUCCGGGCGAAAGGGAGUCCGGUUCCUAUUCCGGAACCCGGCAGCGGAACCGCUCCAAUUCGGGCCCUCAUCCGAGGACUCGUCGGGGUGACCCGAAAUGACCCGGAGAAGCCGUAGGGAGGUCCGGGGAGAGUUGUCUCUUCUCUAUAAGCGUUCGAGUUCCCUGGAAGCCUCUAGGAGGGAGAUAGGGUUUGGAACGCGAAGAGCACCGCACUUACGGCGGUGUCCGGAUCUUCCCCUCGGACCUUGAAAAUCCGGGCGAGGGCCACGAGGAACACCGCGCCGGCUCGUACCCAUAUCCGCAGCAGGUCUCCAAGGUGAAUAGCCUCUAGUCGAUAGAAUAAUGUAGGUAAGGGAAGUCGGCAAACCCGAUCUGUAACUUCGGGAUA
rnacentral:rRNA from 1 species